rnacentral:rRNA from 1 species
ACACUCCUACGGGAGGCAGCAGUGGGGAAUAUUGCACAAUGGGCGCAAGCCUGAUGCAGCCAUGCCGCGUGUAUGAAGAAGGCCUUCGGGUUGUAAAGUACUUUCAGCGGGGAGGAAGGCGAUAAGGUUAAUAACCUUGUUGAUUGACGUUACCCGCAGAAGAAGCACCGGCUAACUCCGUGCCAGCAGCCGCGGUAAUACGGAGGGUGCAAGCGUUAAUCGGAAUUACUGGGCGUAAAGCGCACGCAGGCGGUCUGUCAAGUCGGAUGUGAAAUCCCCGGGCUCAACCUGGGAACUGCAUUCGAAACUGGCAGGCUAGAGUCUUGUAGAGGGGGGUAGAAUUCCAGGUGUAGCGGUGAAAUGCGUAGAGAUCUGGAGGAAUACCGGUGGCGAAGGCGGCCCCCUGGACAAAGACUGACGCUCAGGUGCGAAAGCGUGGGGAGCAAACAGGAUUAGAUACCCUAGUAGUCCCAUGAU